rnacentral:rRNA from 1 species
UACGUAGGGUGCGACGUUGUCCGGAAUUACGUGGGCGUAAAGGAGCUCGUAGGUGGUUUGUCGCGUUGUUCGUGAAAACUCACAGCUUAACUGUGGGCGUGCGGGCGAUACGGGCAGACUGGAGUACUGCAGGGGAGACUGGAAUUCCUGGUGUAGCGGUGGAAUGCGCAGAUAUCAGGAGGAACGACCGGUGGCGAAGGCGGGUCUCCGUGGGCAGUAACUGACGCUGAGGAGCGAAA